rnacentral:rRNA from 1 species
AUUGAACGCUGGCGGCAUGCCUUACACAUGCAAGUCGAACGGCAGCACGGGGCAACCUGGUGGCGAGUGGCGAACGGGUGAGUAAUGCAUCGGAACGUACCUUUCAGUGGGGGAUAACGUAGCGAAAGUUACGCUAAUACCGCAUAUUCUGUGAGCAGGAAAGCAGGGGAUCGCAAGACCUUGCGCUGAUUGAGCGGCCGAUGGCAGAUUAGCUAGUUGGUGAGGUAAAGGCUCGCCAAGGCGACGAUCUGUAGCGGGUCUGAGAGGAUGAUCCGCCACACUGGAACUGAGACACGGUCCAGACUCCUACGGGAGGCAGCAGUGGGGAAUUUUGGACAAUGGGGGCAACCCUGAUCCAGCCAUGCCGCGUGAGUGAAGAAGGCCUUCGGGUUGUAAAGCUCUUUCGGCCGGGAAGAAAUCGCACGGGCUAAUACCCUGUGUGGAUGACGGUACCGGAAUAAGAAGCACCGGCUAACUACGUGCCAGCAGCCGCUGUAAAAC